rnacentral:rRNA from 1 species
CAGUAGCCGCGGUAAUACGAAGGGGGCUAGCGUUGCUCGGAACGACUGGGCGUAAAGGGCGCGUAGGCGGUUUAUACAGUCAGAUGUGAAAUUCCUGGGCUCAACCUGGGGACUGCAUUUGAUACGUAUGGACUUGAGUGGAGAAGAGGGUCGUGGAAUUUCCAGUGUAGAGGUGAAAUUCGUAGAUAUUGGAAAGAACACCGGUGGCGAAGGCGGCGACCUGGUCUUUAACUGACGCUGAGGCGCGAAAGCGUGGGGAGCAAACAGGAUUAGAUACCCGUGUAGUCCCUGUCUCUUAUAC